rnacentral:rRNA from 1 species
AUUGAACGCUGGCGGAAUGCCUUACACAUGCAAGUCGAACGGCAGCACGGGAGCAAUCCUGGUGGCGAGUGGCGAACGGGUGAGUAAUACAUCGGAACGUGCCCAAUCGUGGGGAGUACGUAGCGAAGACUACGCUAUACCGCAUACGAUCUACGGAUGAAGCGGGGGAGUCGCAAGACCUCGCGCGAAUGGAGCGGCCGAUGGCAGAUUAGGUAGNGGUGGGGUAAGGGCUCACCAAGCCUUCGAUCUGUAGCUGGUCUGAGAGGAC